GCGCCCAUCGUCUAUCGGUCAGGACAUCAGGUUUUCAUCCUGAGAAGCGGGGUUCGACUCCCCGUGGGCGCG
rnacentral:tRNA from 1 species